GAUGAACGCUGGCGGCGUGCUUAACACAUGCAAGUCGAACGGUGAACGAGGGAGCUUGCUCCCUCCGGAUCAGUGGCGAACGGGUGAGUAACACGUGAGCAAUCUGCCCCGAACUCUGGGAUAAGCGCUGGAAACGGCGUCUAAUACCGGAUCCGACGCGCGAAGGCAGCUUCUGCGCGUGGAAAGAAUUUCGGUUCGGGAUGAGCUCGCGGCCUAUCAGCUAGUUGGUGAGGUAACGGCUCACCAAGGCGACGACGGGUAGCCGGCCCGAGAGGGUGACCGGCCACACUGGGACUGAGACACGGCCCAGACUCCUACGGGAGGCAGCAGUGGGGAAUAUUGCACAAUGGGCGCAAGCCUGAUGCAGCAACGCCGCGUGAGGGACGACGGCCUUCGGGUUGUAAACCUCUUUUGGUAGGGAAGAAGCGAAAGUGACGGUACCUGCAGAAAAAGCACCGGCUAACUACGUGCCAGCCGCCGCAGUAACAC
rnacentral:rRNA from 1 species